CGCUCACGCCACCAGCACGCGCUUGACUUAUAUCCCUGCCCAGAAACACGCCCCACUGCUAGGAGGCAACCGGUUUCACUGGUACUGACUCAGUUCGCAGUAGUCGGCGAACAGGUUAGGCUUCGGUCAGAGCUAUGCACCUUUACUUGGGAGUAAACCUCAUCGAAGUCAAUGGGAUUUCUUCAUUCUGGACGUGACAAUUCUCAUUGAUUUCAACGGGGAUUAUUCCCGGGCAUAUGUUUGCAGCCUCGGUUUUCUCUAUUUCUCCAGGGUUUAUAUUCUAUUCCUGACAGAGCCAGGGGCUCUUCUGAAGCUGCAGUGUUUUCUGCGACGCUCCCAUACUCCCCACCCCAGAGCUUCCAAACUCAAAGUGAGAUAUAAACUCGCCAGUCUCAGUCUAGACAGACAAGGAAGCAUCCCCUUUUCUAAGAAAAGCCACCUUGUACAUACUCAGUGAGUUCUUUCUUCCGAGCCCCAAAAAGAACUUGCCCCCAAAAGAUGUAGAAGGAAGGGGAAAGAGAUGCGCACGUCCUCAAAAGCACUCAGACCAAUUCAGAACUAGAUCUUUGAAAACAAACUCAUUUAGUUGUGGGGCGUUUAUGCUAAUACAGUUGCUUUUGUUCACGGUCGAUAAUCUUGUCAUUAAGGUUCGGCAUUGUAAUGAGUUGAGUCUGUUGGAUUUUUAUGACAAAUCCGUUAAGAAUGGGUGUUCGUCCUAAAGCUGAGUAUACCUCCUUUAUUUAAACUGUGUCAUUUCUCUGGGGGCCUGGAUGUCAUAUUUUGCUACCUGCCAUUACUUUACUAUGCCCCCAUCCCAUACUGUGUAUCUUUGAGCGAGCCUCCCAUUGUACAAGUAAGAAAUUGACGAAUGAGCCCUCAGCACAUUUCCGGUAGCUCUUGGUAAGUGAUGGCAAUGCCUGCAAAUGGACUUCUUUGUAAUAGAAGUCUGGUCACAAGCAAGUCUGAAAUCCAGCUAGCAAAGUUUAUUCCCAGUUCCUGCAUCACAGAAGAAACAAUUGUUCAUAUUCUAAAACAUGGAACUUUUGAGUCAAGCAGCCCUCCCACAAUCUUGUGGUGUGACCUUUGGCAAAUUGUUACCUCCCUGCCAUGAUUAGAUAAAGAAUGCCAGAAAAAUCUUUUGAGAUCCUCAGUGAAGAAAGCACUAUAAAACUGUUGGUGAUGCUGUUCCUUUUAACAAAUAGACCAAGGACUGAAGAAGCUAUCCUGCAACAUCUGGUCCAGGGGAAACCCCCUUUUUUUGCACAUGCUAGGAAUUAAGUGCAUAAAUAAAAGGAAGCAACAAUUAUGAUUUUGUUAUUUACAUCACGGCUGUCAGCCAAAAGGUCUGGGUGCCUUAUCAGUUUCUUUGCAGUCCCAAACAUGGUCUUUGCUACACACACAAAACUGGAGCAGCAUCUGGGCUAGGAAGCAAUACGCUUAGGAACAGCAGAAGAACUGACCUAAUUCUACUACUGCUUGCCUAAACACAAGGAUUUAGGAACGUUUAAUAUGCAUUGUGAACCACCCUCGAAUGAAGAACUUGAAGGGCAGUAUACAAAUCUAUGGAAAGCAUCACUAGGAGCCGUAAGAUGCGCUCGUUUUUCGUUAGAUCUGAAGGCAGUUCAUUUUUCUGAAACAAGACACAAGUUGGUUGGAAAUCAGAGAGAGGAUUUUCUCCAUCUGGCUUACAUAUACCAGAGCUCAAGGAACAUUCUCCAAGAGCAUCUGCAUUCAACUGUGGGCUAUGCCCACACUUCUUAUUAAAGAAUACAUCAAUGUUGUAUUAUUGAGCCUUUCAUCAUCCUUGUUUAUCAGAGACUAUAAUUCAAGGUAGGCUUGUGAAGAAUUGUUCAGAUUAGGGGUGGCUAGCCUAUGGCCCUCCAGUAAUUGCUGGACUACAAGUCCCAUCAUCCCUAACUACUGGCCACACUGGCUGCUCUUAUGGAGUUGGAAUCCAAUAACAUCUGAAGAGCCACAGUUUACCCAUCCCUAGCUUAGGUCUAAGAGGGUCUUGUUCAAACAACCUCACCUGGAUCCAGUGAUUUGCCAGAAGGUUCCUUGACCUUCAGGAGCAGCUUCCAUGGAAGGAUCUGAAUUCUCAGUUUCUCAUAUUUCCAUUCUUAAAGUUCAGUUCUUCACAUUUCUGCAUCAAUUUGCAAUUUUUUUUAAAAAAUCCUUGUGAAAAUCUUCAAUAUUUUAAUGGGAAUUUGUCUUAAUAAACAUGUUUUUGUAUGCAGUUGUGAAUAAUGUACACAUUAUGUAUGCAGUUGUGAAUAAUGUACACAUUUUGCAAGCUAUUUCUCCUAAUGCAUUGCAUUUUUAUGUUAUUUUCACAAUAUAUUCAUUUGUAUGUACACUUUCCCCCAAUAUAUGCAUUUUUGUAAACAAUGGUUGGAGAACUGCAUCACAAAAUUCGGAUAACUGAAUUUCAAAGGAUGGCUGUGUUUUGGUUCUCAUAUUGUUUUGAUAAGUGUGAAUUUGAUAGAUUCAGCUUUAAAUGUGAACUGAACCAAAUUUCUCCCCCAUCCCUACUUCUGACACGCGGGACUGUAAUGGGGGGAAGAGCUAGGAAAUCCCCACUGCAUGAGUGGAGUUCUGCUUGCCCUUUUCUGGGGCUGAAAGGACCUUAGACAACUCCUUGAAAUUUCGGACUAAAACCAAGAGUGGAUUCACUGCCCCACUGACAUUGGAGCCAGCAGCUUCCACUGUUCCUUUGCAGGCGUGGCUAAUGCGUGUAGCACCUGCCAAGAAAGAAGCAACCAGGAGCACUUUUGAUUUUUUCCUUUGAAGCUGAGUCACCUGAUGUCAUGGUGAUGUAAGGAGACUGCCAGGUGGGCAACCCCGCCUCCCUGUCAAAGCUCAGAAUCUGCUGAUCCAAUUCACCCACCACAGCAGUAAAUUAGUAACAGAAAAUAAAGAUGUAACGUAAGACUUGCAUGUAUUUGGCUGGGGUGUACUAGUUAACCUAUUAACAAAAGUUUAUGCUGUAGCUCGUAUAUAAACAACUUAAAGGAGACCUUUUUUCAGAGAUAUCAGAACAGCUGCCAAACACACAAUGACUGAAUACUUAUGUAGUGGUCAUAACUGGGGUAAAUUACUUAAUUUCCUUAGGAACUUUCCCCUCACAAAUGUAUACAUACAUGUAAUUUGGGUUGCACACAUCCUAGAAUUUGUUUACUAGGAAGAAAUAUCUAUGGAACUCAGUGGAACUGCCUUUCAAUUAACAUUGUUUAAUGUCAUUUAAAGUGCUUGAAAGACAUCAGACUGAAGAAUAGGUUACCAGAUAAUUCUAACACACAUUCAUAGGAUUGGGCUGCAUUAAUAUUUAGUUUUGGGGUGACUAACCUGUUACCUUCCAGAUACUGCUGAAUUAGAAUUGUAUCAUUGAAAGUCUUUGUUUCUCAGCUAUGUCUUCCUUUGGAGUUGGAGAAACAAUGUAUGUUUUUGUUGAGAGAGACAUCAAAGUAUAAUUAAAGAAUGCUUCCAGUCCUUAUCUUUGCUCCCACGGCAUGUGUUGCUCUGAGGUGGUAAGUUUGCAAAAAUUUUAAAUUGUUAUUUCCCAUUGUUCAUUUAAGUAUUUGAAUUAAUGUUCUAAAACAUGUUUAUAUCGGAAAUGUGUAACUCCAUAUGGGGCAUAUAUUAUCUCUUUACAGUUACUGAGAUUGUAUUACAAAGAGGUUUAAUUUCUGAAGAAGAGCUUGUUGCAAAGCAGGGUUAUAUCGGGAUCCUAUAAAGACCUAUGUUUAUAUCAGGAUCAAUGUUUACAUAUCUGUAUAAAGAAUGUCUAUCAUUAA